UCAGGACGAACGCUGGCGGCGUGCCUAACACAUGCAAGUCGAACGGGGUUCAUUGGGAGCUUGCUUCUGAUGAACCUAAUGGCGGACGGGUGAGUAACGCGUGAGUAACCUGCCUCUCAAAGGGGGAUAACGAUCUGAAAAGAUCGCUAAUACCGCAUAACAUAUUUGCAUCGCGUGGUGCGAAUAUCAAAGGAGCAAUCCGCUGAGAGAUGGACUCGCGUCCGAUUAGCUAGUUGGAGGGGUAACGGCCCACCAAGGCGACGAUCGGUAGCCGGACUGACAGGUUGAACGGCCACAUUGGGACUGACACACGGCCCACACUCCUACGGGAGGCGGCAGUGCGCGGGAUAUUGCACAAUGGGGGAAACCCUGAUGCAGCAACGCCAGCGUGUGGAUAAGAAGGUUUUCGGAUUGUAAACCACUGUUCUUAGUGAAGAAGAAAGUGACGGUAGCUAAAAAGAAAGCUCCGGCUAACUACGUGCCAGCAGCCGCGGUAAUACGUAAGGAGCGAGCGUUGUCCGGAUUUACUGGGUGUAAAGGGUGCGUAGGCGGCCCUGCAAGUAAGACGUGAAAGCCCCGGGCUCAACCCGGGAACUGCGUUUGAAACUGUGGGGCUUGAGUGAAGUAGAGGUAGGCGGAAUUCCCGGUGUAGCGGUGAAAUGCGUAGAGAUCGGGAGGAACACCAGUGGCGAAGGCGGCUUACUGGGCUUUAACUGUCGGUGAGGCACGUAAGCGUGGGUGGCGAUCAGGAUUAGAUACCCUGGUAGUCCAUGCUGUAAACGAUGAUUACUAGGUGUGGGGGGUCUGACCCCCUCCGUGCCGGAGUUAACACAAUAAGUAAUCCACUUGGGGAGUACGGCCGCAAGGCUGAAACUCAAAGGAAUUGACGGGGGCCCGCACAAGCAGUGGAGUAUGUGGUUUAAUUGGAAGCAACGCGAAGAACCUUAGCAGGUCUUGACAUCCAACUAACGAAGCAGAGAUGCAUAAGGUGCCCUUCGGGGAAAGUUGAGACAGGUGGUGCAUGGUUGUCGUCAGCUGGUGUCGUGAGAUGUUGGGUUAAGUCCCGCAACGAGCGCAACCCUUGUUGUUAGUAACCAGCAGUAAGAUGGGAACACUAAUGAGACUG
rnacentral:rRNA from 1 species